AACGAACGCUGGCGGCGCGUCUUAAGCAUGCAAGUCGAGCGGGAUUGGGGAGCUUGCUCCCCAUGAGAGCGGCGGACUGGCGAGGAGCGCGUGGGCGACGCGCCCCCCGGACGGGAACAGCCCGUGGAAACACGGGGUAAUGCCGGAUGGCAUGCAGGGCUUGGAGGCCCUGCAUCAAAGGGGCUUCGGCCCCGCCGGGGGAGCGGCCCGCGUCCCAUCAGCUUGUUGGCGGAGCAAAAGCCCACCAAGGCGACGACGGGUGUCCGGCCUGAGAGGGCGACCGGACGCAUUGGGACUGAGAUACGGCCCAGACUCC
rnacentral:rRNA from 1 species